GCUACACUGUCACAGGACAACAAAGUCCCUUUCAAGUUGCCAACGUAACCACCCACAAUUAUAUAUUUACCUCUAAUGAAUGCGGCCAAAGAGAUGAUGUGGAGGUCCAGUUCAUCGGGAAGCCAACAGACGGUCCUAGAGAAUCUUCUUCCGGGCUACACGGAGACGUCCGCAGCACAGAAGAGUGAUCCAGCCUGAUCCACUAGCACCAGAUCCAGACUGGUACCUCUCCACAAAUUAAUACAUAAUGUAAUCUUUAUAAAAUAUAAUCAUACAAAAUUA